UACAGAGGUCCCAAGCGUUGUUCGGAUUCACUGGGCGUAAAGGGUGCGUAGGCGGCCUUCUAAGUCAGACGUGAAAUCCCCCGGCUUAACCUGGGAACUGCGUCUGAUACUGGGAGGCUUGAGUAUGGGAGAGGGAUGUAGAAUUCCAGGUGUAGCGGUGAAAUGCGUAGAUAUCUGGAGGAAUACCGGUGGCGAAGGCGGCAUCCUGGACCAUAACUGACGCUGAGGCGCGAAAGCUAGGGGAGCAAACGGG
rnacentral:rRNA from 1 species